rnacentral:rRNA from 1 species
ACACUCCUACGGGAGGCAGCAGUGGGGAAUAUUGGACAAUGGGCGCAAGCCUGAUCCAGCCAUGCCGCGUGAGUGAUGAAGGCCCUAGGGUUGUAAAGCUCUUUCACCGGUGAAGAUAAUGACGGUAACCGGAGAAGAAGCCCCGGCUAACUUCGUGCCAGCAGCCGCGGUAAUACGAAGGGGGCUAGCGUUGUUCGGAUUUACUGGGCGGAAAGCGCACGUAGGCGGACUAUUAAGUCAGGGGUGAAAUCCCGGGGCUCAACCCCGGAACUGCCUUUGAUACUGGUAGUCUUGAGUUCGAGAGAGGUGAGUGGAAUUCCGAGUGUCGAGGUGAAAUUCGUAGAUAUUCGGAGGAACACCAGUGGCGAAGGCGGCUCACUGGCUCGAUACUGACGCUGAGGUGCGAAAGCGUGGGGAGCAAACAGGAUUAGAAACCCUUGUAGUCCCAUGA